rnacentral:rRNA from 1 species
GAUGAACGCUGGCGGCGUGCCUAAUACAUGCAAGUCGAGCGAACGGACGAGAAGCUUGCUUUUCUGAUGUUAGCGGCGGACGGGUGAGUAACACGUGGAUAACCUACCUAUAAGACUGGGAUAACUUCGGGAAACCGGAGCUAAUACCGGAUAAUAUUUUGAACCGCAUGGUUCAAAAGUGAAAGACGGUCUUGCUGUCACUUAUAGAUGGAUCCGCGCUGCAUUAGCUAGUUGGUAAGGUAACGGCUUACCAAGGCAACGAUGCAUAGCCGACCUGAGAGGGUGAUCGGCCACACUGGAACUGAGACACGGUCCAGACUCCUACGGGAGGCGGCAGUAGGGAAUCUUCCGCAAUGGGCGAAAGCCUGACGGGGCAACGCCGCGUGAGUGAUGAAGGUCUUCGGAUCGUAAAACUCUGUUAUUAGGGAAGAACAUAUGUGUAAGUAACUGUGCACAUCUUGACGGUACCUAAUCAGAAAGCCACGGCUAACUACGUG